GAUACUUGAAGAGAGGAUACCCUUUGUAUGUUCACUUUAUAAAUGGUGAAUAUACAGGGGGAGACUCU
ensembl:miRNA